rnacentral:rRNA from 1 species
UACGAAGGGUGCAAACGUUAUCCGGAAUUAUUGGGCGUAAAGAGCUCGUAGGCGGUUUGUCGCGUCUGCUGUGAAAACCGGAGGCUCAACCUCCGGCCUGCAGUGGGUACGGGCAAACUAGAGUGCGGUAGGGGAGAUUGGAAUUCCUGGUGUAGCGGUGGAAUGCGCAGAUAUCAGGAGGAACACCGAUGGCGAAGGCAGAUCUCUGGGCCGUAACUGACGCUGAGGAGCGAAAGCGUGGGGAGCGAACAGG